GUUGAGACACGAAUUCAGUUUGUGUCGAAUCUACGUGGUAUCAGGCAGCUUUCGAGCAUUCGAUAGACGCCCACUCGAACCUGUACCAAAAGCAACACAACUUCAUGAGAAUAGGACUGCAACAUUUUUAGAGAGAGCCUCUAUGAUGGAGGUAACAAGCUCCUCAAGUACUUCACACACUGGAGGAGACCACUCUGAUCAACCAGAGGCAAAUGAAGAUGAUAUUUGGGAGAUGGUUAACGAUCUCGAAGAACCUCCCUUAGGAUGGGAACAAAUGAACUGGACUGGAGUUUAGCAAACAUUAAUAAGUAACCACUCCUUGAUGUGGUAGAUAGGAUUGUACCAAAAAGCACGAGUAAAAUCUAACUUCAGUAAGUAGCAGUUUUUCAUCUUCAACAUGAAGGUUAAUGUAGAUGUAAUAACAAAUAAUCAAAGAUCUUAAGAGAUCAUUUUAUGUAAAAUAGGAUUAAAUUUUUUUCGAGAAAUCGAAGUUAGGGAAAAUCCCAUUGUUUUUGUAGAGAUAUCUGUCAGUGCUAUUUAGGUCUAUUCAAUUUGAAGAUGCACUUGCCGUUACUCUCUGCUGAAUCCCAUUGUAAAACUCAACAUCUGAAGACAAGCAAACAAAAUAACUCAAACAAAAUGAUGAAAUAGGACAAGGUUUGAAGAAAGACUACCAGAACAACAGCGGAUUCAUAAAAGGUAAUAACAAUCAUAAAGAACAAACAAGAAAAAUUUGUAGUCAGCCCAUCUGCUCGUUGACUCACUAAACAUCUAAACCAGAGUUUUGUUAAGUCAUAAUCAUGCAUGCCUCUAUGUCACCAAGGAGUUGGAUUGCUCAUAAUCUAAUAUUUAUGCAGACCUCGGUGAUGGUGUUUUGUAGGGCUAUAUUACCCUUCAUUUUUCUUGAAGUAUGCCUGUUUGACACUUAUAUCCUGUGUGUAUCCAUAAAUGGGUAUGGGGAUAUUGACCUUUCAAAGAUCCUCCAAAUACAUGGAAAACCUUAGAAAAAGUGGGACAUAUCUGUACCUGACACUUGCACCAAGUUUGAGUAAUAUAGUUUUAAGCUAAACCGAACAAAGCUUGAGUGCUGACUCAACCAGAAGUAUUCAUGCUCCAUCUUGUAACCAGAAGCCACCUCUACAACAUAGUUCUAGUGUAUCAAUACAAUAAAAAUGCUUAGCUGGUAAUCUUCAAUUUUUUAUUAGCACAAUAGCAAAAGGAAGGCAUAAAACAAAAAUAUAGCCUAUUCCAACUCAAGUUUCAUGGUUGAUUGUUCUACCAAUUAUAGAUAACUCAAUCUAAAAAUAAAGUCUUUCAAAGGAUAUUACAGGAUCAGAAAAGCAUUUUGGAUCAUUCUAGGUUAUAGAUCUCAACCUUGAAAAAUCUUUGCAAGUUCACUUGUCAACAUAGAGUGAUGACAGCUCAUCGCCAACCCCGUUUCAAAAGUUUUAAACAAACCAUCUCAAAAUAUCAAUGGUUACUUACCUAACAAGCAAUAAUGGUCAAUGCUGUAGUCAAUCUUCGUCGAACUUGAUAAUGUUCCGUUGCCUAUAUAAUAUACUGGAGAGAACCAAAAAUGAAAUGUAAAAGUAGUUAAAUGAUUUAAUAGAUUUAUGAUGAAAUAAAAAGUAAACAAGGAAUUUCACUUGGUGAAUGCACGUAGACCAUGGUUCGUUGUAUUGAAUUCAACAUGUUUGAAAAUGGAACCUGCCAAAUGUUUUAUUCAAAUUUUUUGACCUCUGCCCUGCAUGGGACAACUACCAGCGUAGAAAGAAGUUUCAAUCACAAUCUGCCUAAAAAUUGGUUAUACAUCAUCAUUACGCAUUGCUCCUUCCAUGGACAAAAAGAUUAAAUAAAUAACUCCUAGGGAGCUUUGAAGAAAUUAUUGCUGCCUGUCGCCACCUGAGUGGGCUGGUUUUCUUCCCAACAGGACCUUUCCUAGAAAUGUUUUUUUGACAUCAUACAUAUAUUGAUGCUAUGUGUUCUUGGCACUUCAAUUCAUUGUAGGAUCAAAGUUUUCCUUUAGUCUUUUCUUUUGUCCACAGAAUGAUUUGUUUUGCAACCAAACUACCGACUUGAACACUACAUGUUCGUGCACAGCCCUGACUGACCCCUUUUCUUCUUCUUCGAGCAGCUCAUGAUCAAAGAAUUGAGCAAAUGAUAGAAACUUAAUGACAUGUUUUUUGUACCCACCAAGUAUGUUCCGAACCAAAUAAUUUUCACACCUAGGCCUCUCUUCAUGCUCUUUUGACCUCAUAAAACUCAUAGCAUUAAUUAAGAAAUUGUACCUCAUUGACAGACUAUAGCCAACAUCUAUAACUGAGGUAAACGUCACAACUUGCAUAAUUAGCAGACUUGACAAUUGCUGCAUCUCUAUAUCUAUACGUAUACAUCAUCAACUCCUUCUCUCCACUUAUAUAUGCUGAACAAUCUGGAAAGCUUCUAAAACUACCAGAAAAGUUCUCAAUAUAACAUGAAAUCAUAUGGAAGUCUAUCCUCAUUUCCUACAAGCUCAGGUUUGAAGAGUCAUCAACACUAAAUUGGUCUGUCUGAAAAAUUCCUAGUGAUCUGGCUAUAAAUUCCAGUAAUUGCGUGUUCCUUUAGUCAUUACAAGAUUCAAAUAAGUACAUUACAUCUAAUGCUUUAGCAGUCUAUUAUUAAAACCUUCGAGCUCAUUGCUUCCUGUUUCUACUUUUCUCAUGGAGAGCAAAUAAGCAAUAGUUUUGACUUUGUCCUAAAAACUACAAGCAAAAAUAGUUUUUAUUUCAGGAGAAAAUUAGAGGUCAACUGUGUUCUGGCAGUUCUACUACUGUGUAAAAGUGUGUUGCAUAACUUCUCCUAGACGACAGUAAAUUAAAUCGGAAAUAUAUGAAAGAUUGACAGAUCCAAACUUUCGUUCUUUUCAUUUCUUUUGUCCGAGAAGCUCAAGUAAUUUAGCUUUAAACUCUCAACGACCCAUUGCAGCUAGAAACUUUAAGACAAGUGAUUAGUUCUUGUCUCAUAUAAUUCAGUUUCAACCACAAUACACACACUGACAUCAGCUUAUUGUUCAAAAGCAGUAGCUCCAUAGGAUGAAACAAAUAACUUCCUCUUAGUCAAUUAAUACUUUAAUUAGAUAUGGUCUUUAAGAAACUAAAUACAACUUAUUCAAGGGUAUUUCCACUAGCCAACCACAGACCCUUAAAUCCUUAAGGACUAGAUAUACUAAACUAUUCUAAAAGGUUUAAAAUAUGUUAAAAGAUAACACAUGACUGGAAAGUUAACCCAAUAUGGAACUUUUGUCAUCACUGUAUUGAGAAAAAGUCAGCAUCACAUUUCACCGAAGUCCAUUGUUUGACAUAUUUGUGACAUUUAAAACAUGAUGAUGACCACAUCAGUGUUCUUUCCCUUUUUUUUGCCAUUUGUAAAUAUGAGAGAGAUGGUUUCCCUUACUAACAAUAAAGAAUUCAAACAAAAAGUCAAAAAUUCAAAGAAGAAACAACUAUGUUUGCCAAUAUCCAACAAUUAGUCCCCACAAUUAUCACACGAAGAACAUAUUCCUGCAAUUCCUUUUUUGUCUUAAAAUCUCAGCCUGCUCAAGGGAAGAGAUUAUUAGCUUCUCAUAUACAUUCCUAUCGUUCUUCUUCGCAACAAUUUUACAUUGAAAAGUAGAGCUCGGAGAAGUAUGAAACACAAGCAAUCAAACACUUAACACUCAUUAAAGAACAGAAACCAAAUGAGAGUGAUAUAAAUUAUAAAGCGCCCAAUUUUUAACAUUUUUAAACAACAAAGAACUCAGAUUUAUUCCAUUCUAGACAAACCCAAACUAUAACCAAAAAAUGAAAUUUCAGAUUCCACUGGUAAUGACAAAAUUGAGUAAAAAUCUCACCUUGGACUUGUUUUUGGUCCCUUUACUUUUGCCACCAACCUUGGUAUAGCAGAACCUAAAGGCAAUGAAAGGAGAAAUAUGGGUCAUUGGGCAGCAAAGAGACAAUUGUCUACUCUUUUUUUACAUUGUUGGUUUAGCAAAACAUAUAAGGUGAGGUGGUUGGCAGCUUUCGGGCUCCUUUGCCCAUGGUUAACUUCACG
rnacentral:lncRNA from 1 species